UUAAAAUGAAGGGGAAUUUUUUUAAACUUUUUUUUAUCAGCCAGUAGUUAAUGCAAGAGUUUAGCAGAUGCUUUGCUAUUAAAUCAUAUUUUAAAAUCCUCUAAAAUAACCGGAUCUUCUCAAGCCAGGGGACACCAGGAUCCCCAAAUGGGUUUCCUCCAGCUUGCGGAAUGUUUAAAAAGCCGGCACCUCGUUCCCCCCACCCCGAAUCAGUGGUGUGGCCGAUAUCGGUUUUCUGCCAGUUUAACUAGCCUGUUUGUGAAACAUUACUUCAUAGGGGUAUUGUACCAGUAUCCACCUUCUCCUACUCAAGAAAUCUGGAGGAAGACUGCCAUGUUGGAUGCAUCUGAAUAAGGCAAGAAAAGGCACGGUGGUGAGAACUGCUCCAUGUGACUGGUAUUGCACUAGGAAGUUUAGCUGGAAGGUCUGAUGCCUAUGGUCUCAGUCUUAGGAAAGGCACCGGCUAAAGGUACCUUGGGGAAUCUUCUUUUUCUCUCCAAUCCCUCUGCCAACAGAGUCAGCAAAUCCGCCAUCUAAUUUUCCAUCAUCCUCGAAGCCCUGA